rnacentral:lncRNA from 1 species
UUUCAUUUGCGUCCUUUGCAUACAUGUCAGAAAAACAUUUUUCCUCGAACAAAAAGAGGUUAAUAUCUCAUCCCAACUAUUCAGAUCACCAGGCAGAUCAUACCUUUAUUGUACAACAGACAUGCUGAUUUAAUUUGUGAUGUCACAUGAGAAAGAUAUACACUGUAGAAUAAUACCAGUUAGUCAACAUUUGGAGAUUGAUCACCGGGCUCCUCAGCGCUGUAUUACUCAAAUGGUUCCAGGUCUCGUAAGGUUUGCAGAAAAUCCUGUGAACAGCGAUUUUAUUGCUUUGCGGGUUUUGAUAAGAAUGAUCCCUUUGGACGACCAGGCUCCAACGAUAUGCUUGCGUUUCACCAUUUGCCUGGCGUCAAAGAUGAGUUUCCGACCCAUAUUUAUUUAGGUCCUCGUGAAUAAAGGUACCUUCAUACGCACUUGUGUUCAGACAUACCCUUUUCUUAUAAAGCGAAUUACGAGCUCGGCGAGAUACAAACUUUAAGAGUAUAUCUCGUGGUUUGCCCGAAGACUUUGGUUUUCCAACACAGAUAUGUCCUGAAGGGUUGACUUCGCAUAAGCCGCAUCAGUACAUUUUGCCAAUGGUGUUGUGAAAUGCAAGAAACUGGCACUGUUUGAACAAUAUUUAUGGCAAACCUUCGGAACAUUUCACCUGAUGAAAUACACACUUGCAAAGCCUGGAUCCCUUGACACAGAAUACAGACAGAAUCACCUCCCAUUCUUCAUAUCCUCCCGACAGAAUUCUCCUUGCUCAAUCAGACUAAGGUCGACAAACCCUCCCUUAUUUUAUCCAGAUUCCAAUUACUAGUAUAUCAUUAUUUUCACUUCAUUCCGUUUAGAAUCGAUAAUCAUUGUCAUCUUAAAAAUAUAUAUGUUUUUCAUUUCUGUUUUUCUUCGUUUGAAAUUAAAGUUUCAAAAUAACAAAGUCAAAGGUGGAGGUGGAUUGUGGAUUUCGCCGCCUUGAGCAAGAGUAAUUUUGUCAAAGUGGAGUAUUUUGACUUGCAUUACCUUGACACAAGUGCUUCGAUGAAGUCUUUCCAGGCACUGAAUCAUUCCUGUGUCACGGGAAGUUCUGAUGGCAUAGUGAAUUAUUCUUCAGAAGUGGAUGUAGGAAAAUAUCAUAGGGAGUACGCCAGGAAAAUUUAAAAAAUGCAACACAGUUGUAACUUUCCUGUUUUAAGAAAGCUUUAGCAUGUGACUUUUCGUCAGGUGUCAGCAAAGGUGAGACCCAUUUAGUGCGAAGCUUCCGCUCGGACAACAUUAAUUAUAAAUAUCUUUUGUACGGUAUUCUAAUAGGGCCAUCGGCGUUUCGCCCCUUUGCCCUGUGGCUUGGUAAGGGCGAGAAUGCGACGAUACAACGAAAAGAAACAAUGUGAUGGCGCCAUGAUUCUAAAUGGAAGAAAGAAAACACGACGCGAAGACGCGAUAUAAAAAUCACAGCUUCUUAUCAUUGUUUUGGAAUCGCAAUAUCGUCCCUCAAUCCAAAGGCGAACUUACGAUACGAAAGUGCGAUAUUGAUAUCGUAAAAUUGAACUGUCGCCCUCAAAAAAAGCAGAAAUUUGCGUACCUGAAAUGUGCAUUGUGCUGUUGCCUUUACCAAUCUAUAGGGGAAAUGGGGUAAAGCAACGAUAGCCGUAACGGCACGCCGUACUUGUAGAUUUAACCAGGGUUAUGAUGCAAGCCCUAAAUUCUGAUUUGUCUUUAGAUGUCAUUACAAGAUUCAGUAUAGACUAGAGAACAUUGUAUGUAUAAACUAGAAUGCAAGCGGUUUAUUAUAUAUUCAAUAUGACACGAAACAAAUUCCGAUAGUCUGGUUACACGUUUGAUUGAUUUUGUUUAUACCUUUAAAACCUUCACGCUAUACAAGUUAUCAUUUGAAUAGAAAGGUACGUUAACAUACACACCAGUGAUACGUAAACAUAAAAGUGUAAAGUUUCAUCACUUUUCAAACUACAGCAUUUACAAAAUAUAACAUUCAUGAAAGAGUUAAGUUUUGCUGGGGAAAAUUCCAAGUUACUUUUGUGUGGGCGGAAUUUUGUUUAUCUAAACAUAGUGAAAAAACGUGCAAUGACUGUAAAACUCUUAGAAUCGUUUUGCAGCAAGAAAAAUCCUUUGAAAAUUGUUUUGGUAACAUUCAUUGGAAUAAUUAUUUUUAUUUAUGUAAAUCUGAACAAAAAGAGACUUGAAUCAUGCGACUUGUCUGAACAGAAAAGCGAAAAUUUGCGAAUUUUGAUAAAAACCGUAUCCAGUGCAUUAGAAAUGUAUAACGUAACGUACUGGGUGGAUUACGGCACAGCGUUAGGUGCGUAUCGAUAUUGUGACGUCAUACCAUGGGAUCAUGACGCAGACAUUGGAUAUUUAGAAACGGACUAUAUUAAAGUAGUCCGAAGCCGCCGCAAAAGUUAACAGACACAGAGGUUUCUCUAUGGACCAUACGAAAGCUUGGUAUCGAAAUUAUUCACUUGAUCUAUUUUCAUGGAAAAAAGUUAAAAACUGGUGGACUUGGAGCUCAGUUAGAAAUAUUUUUACAGGUCAGGACGAUACGCCCGAAAACUACAAACUGUACGUUCUUAGGCCUGAAAGUAAUGCCUUAAAGAUUUACCUCCUGAAUUUCUUCGUGGAAUAUUUACCUUUUACUUACUUAAACGAAAGAUCUAGAGUAAGGAUUGCAGAUUUUGAGGUGUACACAAUUCGGAAUGUCACGGAGCUUGUGAAGUGGAGAUACUUUCUUACAUAUGACAAAGUAAUGCCGUUCUAUUUGUAUUGCUUAAGUACAUUUUACAAUUCAACCGGCGGGAUGAAUAAGUGUGUGAACUAACCAACAGGAAAACGAGUAAAAGACUUUUUUUCAGCCAAGUUUAUCUCAUGAAUACCUGCACCAUGGAAAUAUUGUAGAUCUAAUUUGUAAACUGUCGUGGAACCUGUGUCCGGAUCGCACAUGGAGACCAACAGUACAGAAAGUUGAAGUAUGAUAUAGUGAAUAAAUACCCUCAAUGCAGCCUUAUGGAGCUUUGGCUAGAUCAUGAACAGUAGACAUCAAAAAGAUGCUCAUCUAAAGGGCCACAAGUGUUUGAAGCAUUGGUCAACGAAAACAACUGAACUAUUUGAUGGAUCAUACAGAAUGUACAAUCAGAUUUACAGAAUCAGAGAAAUAGAAGUAUCAAGUAUUAGGGAGAUAGGAAAAAUGCAUCAUGCAUGAAGAACCUGCCUUAGAUUAGUUUGCAAAAUACAUCGAAAUCUCACAAUUACAUUUUUGUCAUUGUCCGUGUCAGUUUGUCUGUCGCUCCGCAGCUAUAGCUUGUAUUCAAAAGUCUGACAUAUUGAGUUAUAAACUUUGUUAUCGUUUGUAUAUACAGCCGUAGAAUGACAGAGAAAUGGACACAGACAAUGUCAAAACUCUAACGGGGAAUAAAUAUCACAAAAACAUGACAUUUUCAAUUUGAUAUCUUUUAGAACAUGUGUGAUACUAAUUUUAGCGGUAACAUUUAGUAAUAUAUUUUCAUAUUUCUUUAUUAUGGGGGAGACAUAUUGUUUUUGCCUU